UUUCCGCAGGUGAACCUGCGGAAGGAUCAUUAAUGAGUUGUCAUGGGGUUCGAUGCUGGCAGCCAGUUUUUGGAUGCAUGUGCUUGCCCUAACAAUCAUCUUCUUCCAAACACCUGUGCACAUUUUUGAGGGAGUCUUGAGUUGGUUGCCGCUCUUGGGUGAUUUUCUCACAUUCCCUUAAAUCAUUAUACGCUAUUAACAAUGUUGAACGUGCUCUGUGCCGCAAGGCCAUUAAUAUAAUACAACUUUUAACAACGGAUCUCUUGGCUCUC
rnacentral:misc_RNA from 1 species